rnacentral:tRNA from 1 species
GGGGGCGUAACUCAGUGGUAGAAUGUAUGCUUAGCAUACAUGUGGCCCUGGAUUCAAUCCCCAGCAGCCCCCA